CUGUCGGCGACUAAACCGGCUCCCCAAGUGGGCUAUCCAGUGAAGAGAGUGACUAGACACCAAGGAGGCUAUAAUUCUGUAGUCUCUUUGCUAGACACCCGGCAAAGGACGGAUGAGCUUGCUAGCCAACGGCCAGCCAGUUCUGGUGUGGAUUCGGACACGCGCAUUGCCAUGCACCGCGUCCCCACUCUCCCUUUUCUGGUGGGUGACACACCAGAGGUCUUACGCUCUGUUUCUUGAUCGUUUAGCCUCACCACAAUCCAUCCAUCCAUAACACCGUGGACCAGGCCAGUCCGUCGAGUGACUUCCAGUUGGAAGUUCUCGAAGGGCUCGUAGCCUCGUACACGCUGUUCUUUAUCACCACCAUCUCGCUGUUGUCCUCCGCCGCCUCCAUCUUGCCUAAGGAUCUCCGCAUCACGACUCCUGAAGUACCACAGCACCCAGCACAGCCCCCAGCACCAGCAUCGCUACCAGUCCUGCUGCAGCUGGCACCGCCACCUCCAUUGACGACAAUUCUGUGGAUGCUGUUUUGUCCUCUGUGUCGAUGGCAGAGGCUGUGCAGAGGGAGACUUGUAAGGUCCCCAUCGGCUCCCAUGUUUUGCAGUUCUCUUCUGCUAGCGUUUCUUGUCUCCAGCCUGAGGGCCCGUGAGCCACAAUAUGAAGACUUGAGAGAUUCCUGGACUGGAUCGUUUGGGCACACCGAGUAUUGCACUUGCCAAUAUUUAAUUGAAAUGUAAGUCUGUGUGAUUUUUUGUCCAGCUGUACCAACGCGUUCGCCAAUACCUUCCACCAAUCGACUGAGUCAUCAGGGAAGCAGGAAGUGUUUUGUAGCGGGAACCAAGCGGUGUAGUUGCUCCGGUUCACCACCGCCUCCAGGCUAAUCCCUCUGAAGCCGGACUCGGGGUACAUGUAUGUUUCCAGCGUGAUGUUCGGUCCACUUUUCUCCUCUCUUGUUUUAAUUUCUGACUGUUCUUCUUUACCGAUGGUCUGAAUAGCGGGGCAGUUAACGUCUCUGUCACUCCCGGAGACGGACAACGCCGACCUCAGAAGCAGCAGGAGAAGCAGCAGCGGCGGCGACGGUGGCAGCAGUAAGGAGGACCUGCUGGUGUUCAUCGUGGCUCACUGUCUUCUGCGUCUGUGUGUGUGUGUGUGUGUGUGUAUAAUGUUCAGAAGCGGGAUAAGACCAAGAACAGUCUCCUUCGAUAAGAUUAUACCAGGACAUCCUCUGAUACUCUCUCUCUCUCUCUCUCUCUCUCACACACACACACACACACACACACACACACACACACACACACACACACACA